rnacentral:rRNA from 1 species
UACGAAGGGGGCUAGCGUUGCUCGGAAUCACUGGGCGUAAAGGGUGCGUAGGCGGGUCUUUAAGUCAGGGGUGAAAUCCUGGAGCUCAACUCCAGAACUGCCUUUGAUACUGAAGAUCUUGAGUUCGGGAGAGGUGAGUGGAACUGCGAGUGUAGAGGUGAAAUUCGUAGAUAUUCGCAAGAACACCAGUGGCGAAGGCGGCUCACUGGCCCGAUACUGACGCUGAGGCACGAAAGCGUGGGAG